rnacentral:rRNA from 1 species
GGAAAGGCGCGCGAUACAGGGUGACAGCCCCGUACACAAAAAUGCACAUGCUGUGAGCUCGAUGAGUAGGGCGGGACACGUGGUAUCCUGUCUGAAUAUGGGGGGACCAUCCUCCAAGGCUAAAUACUCCUGACUGACCGAUAGUGAACCAGUACCGUGAGGGAAAGGCGAAAAGAACCCCGGCGAGGGGAGUGAAAAAGAACCUGAAACCGUGUACGUACAAGCAGUGGGAGCACGCUUAGGCGUGUGACUGCGUACCUUUUGUAUAAUGGGUCAGCGACUUAUAUUCUGUAGCAAGGUUAACCGAAUAGGGGAGCCGAAGGGAAACCGAGUCUUAACUGGGCGUUAAGUUGCAGGGUAUAGACCCGAAACCCGGUGAUCUAGCCAUGGGCAGGUUGAAGGUUGGGUAACACUAACUGGAGGACCGAACCGACUAAUGUUGAAAAAUUAGCGGAUGACUUGUGGCUGGGGGUGAAAGGCCAAUCAAACCGGGAGAUAGCUGGUUCUCCCCGAAAGCUAUUUAGGUAGCGCCUCGUGAAUUCAUCUCCGGGGGUAGAGCACUGUUUCGGCAAGGGGGUCAUCCCGACUUACCAACCCGAUGCAAACUGCGAAUACCGGAGAAUGUUAUCACGGGAGACACACGGCGGGUGCUAACGUCCGUCGUGAAGAGGGAAACAACCCAGACCGCCAGCUAAGGUCCCAAAGUCAUGGUUAAGUGGGAAACGAUGUGGGAAGGCCCAGACAGCCAGGAUGUUGGCUUAGAAGCAGCCAUCAUUUAAAGAAAGCGUAAUAGCUCACUGGUCGAGUCGGCCUGCGCGGAAGAUGUAACGGGGCUAAACCAUGCACCGAAGCUGCGGCAGCGACGCUGAUGCGUUGUUGGGUAGGGGAGCGUUCUGUAAGCCUGCGAAGGUGUGCUGUGAGGCAUGCUGGAGGUAUCAGAAGUGCGAAUGCUGACAUAAGUAACGAUAAAGCGGGUGAAAAGCCCGCUCGCCGGAAGACCAAGGGUUCCUGUCCAACGUUAAUCGGGGCAGGGUGAGUCGACCCCUAAGGCGAGGCCGAAAGGCGUAGUCGAUGGGAAACAGGUUAAUAUUCCUGUACUUGGUGUUACUGCGAAGGGGGGACGGAGAAGGCUAUGUUGGCCGGGCGACGGUUGUCCCGGUUUAAGCGUGUAGGCUGGUUUUCCAGGCAAAUCCGGAAAAUCAAGGCUGAGGCGUGAUGACGAGGCACU